AUGUCCUUUGAGAAUGAAACCUUUCUGACACUCAUGGAGGCAGAAGUCCAUCAGGAUGAAAUGAACAAUUGGGUUGCCCCCUUGCCAUUUCAAUCCCCCUGUCUCCCACUCCCAAACAACAGGGAGUGAGCAUUGUCUGAGUUCUUGAACCUAGAACCUGGAGAUGCAGCAGAAGUUCACCUCCUUCAUGGAAAAGCUGUUCGAGAAUAAGCGUGCAGAGAGUGCAGUGAAUGCUGGUAUCUGCCCAUCACCCCCAGAAGCCAGGACAAAUACGAGUUGUAUUCGACUCAAACGCCCAGCAACACGGCGUAUCACUUAACCCAGUCUUGCUGACAGUGAGACCUGACCACAGAGACUAUCUGAGAUUCCUAUGGCAUAUAGAUAAUGACCUGUCCAAGGAAGUACAAGAGGAUUGUAUGCACGUCUUUGGCAAUAGUCCAUCCCCAGCGGUCAUGAUCUAUUGCCUCUGAAGAACAGCUCAAGAAGGGUCAAACCUGAACCUUCACAAAAUUGCAUCGAACAGUGUCGCUGUGAUGCAGUCCUUCAAACCUGAGAAACUGACUACAGGCAUCAGGGACUGAGGUCUUGACAAUGAGAUUCUGCCAACCCAGAGGAGCCUGGAAUUAUGCUGGGACAUAAAAACAGACACCUUUACUUCCAAAGUAGCUGUUGCCAACAAGCCAUGCACCCGUCAAGGGGUGCUUUCUAUCAUUAACAGCAUCUUUGAUUCAUUGGGUCUAGCAGCACCAGUGAUAGUUAGAGGUAGAUUAUUGUUGUGGGAGCUCUACAUUGGAGUUCAAGACUGGGAUGCUCCUCUUUCUGAUGAGAGAAUGAGCCAGUGAGAGGCUUGGAAAGCAACACUCCAGGAGUUAAGCUGUCUUCAGGUACCUUGCUGCUACGUACCAACAUGACUCUGAGCUAUGUGUCUUCUCUGAUGCCUCAAAUUGGGCCAUAGGCGAAGUAGCGUACAUACGAGCUGCCACUGAAGAAGGUCACUGUUGGAUUUGUGCUUUGGAAAGCAAAACUGGCACCACAGCCAGAUCUUCACAGCCACAGCCUCUUUAAUUUAAUAUAAUAAAAAAGGGAGUCCAUAAUUCAUGUAAUGUUAAAAAAUGCUAUCUACAUCUAAAAAAGUGAUAAUAUUACAUUGCUUUGCAUUAAUCCAUGAUGUACUCUUAUGUUGAAGGCUAAGGUAAGAGAUAUGUUAUGCAUUAUGGGAUAGAGACGAGUUGUUGUAAACAAGUAAAGCUCUGAUUAAUAUGAUGGAGGUUUUCCUUGUGUCUUAACCUUUGUCUAGACACUUUCAAAAGCAAUGGCUGUAAGUUAUAGUUAUAGUUAUAGUUUAAGUUAUAGUUUUUUAGCAUCUCAAAUUUAAGUGUCUUUUCUGUACAGAGGAAAAGUUCAUUUUUUUUGUGUACCUGUUUUGAUAGUAGCUAACUGACGUUAGCAUUAAUGCUAAUCUAGAAGUGUUUUAGCCUAAUGUUUGACUGUUAGCAUGCUAAAUAGGGUGUCAAGCCUUUUGUUACCACAUUAGCAUCAAUGACGUUCCUUUCAUUUUUGUAUAUGACAUUGGUGCCAUGUUGUAAUCUUAAUGGAUAACAUUACCACUUAUUGCUACCUGUGUUUGAGUCACUUAUUAACAGUUUUUAUGCUAAUGAGAGAUAUUUUCUCUCUCUUUUGUUUCUAUAACA